rnacentral:rRNA from 1 species
UACGUAGGGCGCAAGCGUUGUCCGGAAUUAUUGGGCGUAAAGAGCUCGUAGGCGGUUUGUCGCGUCUGCUGUGAAAGCCCGGGGCUCAACCCCGGGUCUGCAGUGGGUACGGGCAGACUAGAGUGCAGUAGGGGAGACUGGAAUUCCUGGUGCAGCGGUGAAAUGCGCAGAUAUCAGGAGGAACACCGAUGGCGAAGGCAGGUCUCUGGGCUGUUACUGACGCUGAGGAGCGAAAGCAUGGGGAGCGAACAGG